GGUAAUUUAGUAUUAAAUAAUUUUUUAUAUGUAAAUUAAUAUUUCAGUAUAUUUAUUUAUACAAUGAAUGAGAGUUUUAUAUAGAAAUUAGAAAUUAUAAUUGUAUAAAUUUGUGCCAGCAUCUGUGGUUAUACCUAUAAUUAAAGUUAAAAGGUUUGGGUGAAAAGUAAAGUAAGAUGUAGUUGUGAUUGAAAGAAAAUUUUAUGGUUAGUUUUUUGGCAAAAUUAUUAGAAUUGAUAUGGUUUUUUUCUGUUUUUCUUUAUUAUCUAUACAUUGAAAUUUUAAAAAUAAACAAGGAAUACCCUAUUAUUUUUUAGUGUAAAAAUUGAUUUUUGUUUACCUAAGUAUUAUGAAAAUGAUUAAAUAAUUAAUUAUUAAUUGUUGUUUAAAACUUAAAAGGUUUGGCGGUAUUACAUAUCCAGUUAGGGGAGUUUGUUAAUAUAAUUUGAUAAUCCACAUUUUGAACUUACUUUUUUAAAAUUAUAUAUAUAUAUAUAAGUUCAGCAAAAUUUAGAUUCAGAUGAAUAUGGUACUUAAGUUAAAGGCACCAGAAUUUUGUAUGAUAUUAUCCAUAUAAAUCAAAUGGGGUGAUUAUAAUCAAAAUAAGCAACAACGAUAUCCAAGGUAGCGUAGUACAAUCGUUUCAUGCUACUUCAUUUUAUUAAACACUGUAAGUAUUACAUCAGUUUUAAAACUUUAAAACUUUAUAGUUGAUAUGUCAAGUCAUAACGUAGCUAAUAAAGAAGGUUUAAUGGACUACAAUAAUUUAUAUUAUUUAUGUAUCCGGAUAAUGAAAAUUAAAUUUUGUAAGUAAGGUGGACUUAAUAGUAAACUUGAUGAUUAGUAUGUGUAGUUGAAUAUGGUUUUGUAAAGUGUACAUAUCGCCUGUCACUCUUGUUGUUUAAAUAAGAUAAGUCGUAACAUAGUAGAAGUAAUGGAAAUUGUUUCUGGA
rnacentral:lncRNA from 1 species